UGGGGAAUAUUGGACAAUGGGCGAAAGCCUGAUCCAGCAAUGCCGCGUGUGUGAAGAAGGUCUUCGGAUUGUAAAGCACUUUCGACGGGGACGAUGAUGACGGUACCCGUAGAAGGAGCCCCGGCUAACUUCGCGCCAG
rnacentral:rRNA from 1 species